rnacentral:rRNA from 1 species
CCUAGUGAGAAAGUAACUGCCCGUACCGCAAACCGACACAGGUAGUUGAGGAGAGAAUCCUAAGGUGUGCGAGAGAACUCUCGUUAAGGAACUCGGCAAAAUGACCCCGUAACUUCGGGAGAAGGGGUGCUGACCGCAAGGUCAGCCGCAGUGAAUAGGCCCAAGCGACUGUUUAUCAAAAACACAGGUCUCUGCAAAAUCGAAAGAUGACGUAUAGGGGCUGAUGCCUGCCCGGUGCUGGAAGGUUAAGAGGAGAGGUUAGCGCAAGCGAAGCUUUGAAUUGAAGCCCCAGUAAACGGCGGCCGUAACUAUAACGGUCCUAAGGUAGCGAAAUUCCUUGUCGGGUAAGUUCCGACCCGCACGAAAGGCGUAACGAUUUGGGCACUGUCUCAACGAGAGACUCGGUGAAAUUAUAGUACCAGUGAAGAUGCUGGUUACCCGCGACAGGACGGAAAGACCCCAUGGAGCUUUACUGCAGUUUGAUAUUGCGUGUUUGUAUCACAUGUACAGGAUAGGUAGGAGCCGAAGAUACCGGGACGCCAGUCUCGGAGGAGGCAACGGUGGGAUACUACCCUUGUGAUAUGACCACUCUAACCCGCUGCUCUUAGCGAGCAGGGAGACAGUGUCAGACGGGCAGUUUGACUGGGGCGGUCGCCUCCAAAAAUGUAACGGAGGCGCCCAAAGGUUCCCUCAGAAUGGUUGGAAAUCAUUCGUAGAGUGUAAAGGCGGAAGGGAGCUUGACUGCGAGACCUACAAGUCGAGCAGGGACGAAAGUCGGGCUUAGUGAUCCGGUGGUUCCGCAUGGAAGGGCCAUCGCUCAACGGAUAAAAGCUACCCUGGGGAUAACAGGCUUAUCUCCCCCAAGAGUUCACAUCGACGGGGAGGUUUGGCACCUCGAUGUCGGCUCAUCGCAUCCUGGGGCUGUAGUCGGUCCCAAGGGUUGGGCUGUUCGCCCAUUAAAGCGGUACGCGAGCUGGGUUCAGAACGUCGUGAGACAGUUCGGUCCCUAUCCGUCGCGGGCGUUGGAAAUUUGAGAGGAGCUGUCCUUAGUACGAGAGGACCGGGAUGGACACACCGCUGGUGUACCAGUUGUUCUGCCAAGAGCAUCGCUGGGUAGCUAUGUGUGGACGGGAUAAACGCUGAAAGCAUCUAAGCGUGAAGCCCCCCUCAAGAUGAGAUUUCCCAUCACUUUAAGUGAGUAGACCCCUGAGAGAUGAUCAGGUAGAUAGGUUGGGAGUGGAAGUACAGCGAUGUAUGGAGCGGACCAAUACUAAUCGGUCGAGGACUUAACC